rnacentral:sRNA from 2 species
ACAGCCAAAUGCUCAACAGCGCUCCAGGGCCGGCGAAAGUCAAAUUCCUCGCAUCCCCAAGGAUAUCCCAAAGGAACUGGCCGGACUAGUAAAUGCGGUAAACGCAACGGCGCUUCCUCCUCCGACUCCUAAUUUCACAUCCACUAGCAGCCCUUCCACCAGAUAUUCUGAAUCUCCUGGGCCAUGGAGUAGCAGAACGUCCACUCCAACCUCCAUGUCUUCGUAUUCACCUGGGAUCAUUCAUCCAACAAAGAUAGGAUCACGUCUAAGGCAACCAAGUCCCGCUCUCUCGAGAAGCCCGCUUCCUAGACAAUCUACUGCCCCUGUUCCUUCCACCAUUCCUCUCAUUUCCACCAAAGAUGGAACUCCCCCAUACCCAAGAACACCGCGCAAAGCUCAGACACAUCCUCCUAUAACGGCAAUCAAAACUGAAAAAGACGAACGGCAACACGGUGACAAAAAGAAAACCUCCCAACCUCCUCGCGGCCCUCCACCUCGAAAAACGGCCACUAAAUUCAAACCUCCAAAGACGAAGGAGGACGAUUCCACUCAGAUGUCAAAUAAAAACUCGG